UACGUAGGGGGCAAGCGUUGUCCGGAUUUAUUGGGCGUAAAGAGCGUGUAGGCGGCUUUACAGGUCCGUUGUGAAAACUCGAGGCUCAACCUCGAGACGCCGGUGGAAACCGUAAAGCUAGAGUCCGGAAGAGGAGAGUGGAAUUCCUGGUGUAGCGGUGAAAUGCGCAGAUAUCAGGAAGAACACCCGUGGCGAAGGCGGCUCUCUGGUACGGAACUGACGCUGAGACGCGAAAGCGUGGGGAGCGAACAGG
rnacentral:rRNA from 1 species